AGAGAAAGACGGAACCACUCACCCCUAGCGCUUUCUCGAAAACGUGAAUUUAUCGAGACGAAUUGGUAAAAUAGAAUAAGGGAGAAAAGCAAGUCAAUGGUUGGUUGGUAGUGGGACCUCCUUGCAGCCUUUAUCACGUGAGGGACCAGCUAGCCUGCCUUACUACAUUCUACACAGAUUCUGUCUCUGGAGAAAUUGGAGGGACACAAACGUUCGUAGUAACAGAUCCACCUCCUCUGAAUCCAGGGAAAUGUUUUCCCCUGGGAAAAAAAAACGGUUGACUGAGCAAAGGAAAGCCUCUGCCUCACAUGUGGGGGAACUCCGCAAUAAGUUAAAAGCCAUCCUGAAGAAAAAGUAUCAAAGUCCGCCAGGGGGGGAGACUGAGCAUCCAUUUUAUAUACAUUGCGAUCUCCACUAUCAAGCUGGUGAAAGUAGCAAGGGGAACCAACAUGAGUAUAUUUUAACUGAGCCAGGCUACAGGAGAAGACACCAAGGAACAUGCUCAUCCCUAAA